UAAGUUUUAAGUUAUACAAACUCAAGGCCUUCAAAGCCUUAAAAGAGAUUUUCUCAAACUUUG
rnacentral:tRNA from 1 species